AUUGAACGCUGGCGGUAGGCCUAACACAUGCAAGUCGAGCGGAUGAAGGGAGCUUGCUCCUGGAUUCAGCGGCGGACGGGUGAGUAAUGCCUAGGAAUCUGCCUGGUAGUGGGGGAUAACGUCCGGAAACGGGCGCUAAUACCGCAUACGUCCUGAGGGAGAAAGUGGGGGAUCUUCGGACCUCACGCUCUCAGAUGAGCCUAGGUCGGAUUAGCUAGUUGGUGGGGUAAAGGCCUACCAAGGCGACGAUCCGUAACUGGUCUGAGAGGAUGAUCAGUCACACUGGAACUGAGACACGGUCCAGACUCCUACGGGAGGCAGCAGUGGGGAAUAUUGGACAAUGGGCGAAAGCCUGAUCCAGCCAUGCCGCGUGUGUGAAGAAGGUCUUCGGAUUGUAAAGCACUUUAAGUUGGGAGGAAGGGCAGUAAGUUAAUACCUUGCUGUUUUGACGUUACCAACAGAAUAAGCACCGGCUAACUUCGUG
rnacentral:rRNA from 1 species